AGUGAACGCUGGCGGUAGGCCUAACACAUGCAAGUCGAACGGCAGCACAGUAAGAGCUUGCUCUUACGGGUGGCGAGUGGCGGACGGGUGAGGAAUACAUCGGAAUCUACUUUUUCGUGGGGGAUAACGUAGGGAAACUUACGCUAAUACCGCAUACGACCUACGGGUGAAAGCAGGGGAUCUUCGGACCUUGCGCGAUUGAAUGAGCCGAUGUCGGAUUAGCUAGUUGGCGGGGUAAAGGCCCACCAAGGCGACGAUCCGUAGCUGGUCUGAGAGGAUGAGAGGCAACAGGGGAGAGUAGAGAAGGACGAGAUGCCGAAGGGAGGCAGCAGUGGGGAAGAGUGGACAAGGGGUGCAAGUUUUAAACAGCUAUAGUGGAUGAGUAAAGACGGCGGUCGGGUUGUAAAGCCCUCUGGCUGAGAAAGAAAAGCAGCAGGUUAAUACCCCGCUGUUAGGACGGUACACAAAGAAUAAGAACGGGCUAGCUUCGUG
rnacentral:rRNA from 1 species